UAGGGAAUCUUCGGCAAUGGGGGGAACCCUGACCGAGCAACGCCGCGUGAGUGAAGAAGGUUUUCGGAUCGUAAAGCUCUGUUGUUAAGGAAGAACGAGUGUGAGAAUGGAAAGUUCAUACUGUGACGGUACUUAACCAGAAAGGGACGGCUAACUACGUGCCAGCAGCCGCGGUAAUACGUAGGUCCCGAGCGUUGUCCGGAUUUAUUGGGCGUAAAGCGAGCGCAGGCGGUUAGAAAAGUCUGAAGUGAAAGGCAGUGGCUCAACCAUUGUAGGCUUUGGAAACUGUUUAACUUGAGUGCAGAAGGGGAGAGUGGAAUUCCAUGUGUAGCGGUGAAAUGCGUAGAUAUAUGGAGGAACACCGGUGGCGAAAGCGGCUCUCUGGUCUGUAGCUGACGCUGAGGCUCGAAAGCGUGGGGAGCGAACAGG
rnacentral:rRNA from 1 species